GUUAGAGAACUUGACAACGAGAUCUAUUCACCUCCUGUCUAUCAGCAGAGCAUCCAGGCAUAGUUGGAACCAUGCUGGAAGAGAAGCCCGUGUAGACCUUUUGAAGCUUUUCUCUGCUGCAUGAAACAAUUAGAGAUUCUUGAGGGAGGAGAAAGGGGGAGAGUAACUCUGUUUCAGAUUUAACAGCAUCUAUCUCAGCAUCCCAGGCCAUCCCUAGUAAUAUAGAUUGUCAUACCUACUCCUAUUCUGUCUUUGUCCUCUCAGCACUUUAUUCCAGACAUCAAGGUUUCUCUGAACUGUGGGAAAGGAGACAUACAAGCUUAGAGACAAAAAUCAGACUUAUUCAAGUUAUUACUGGAACACACCAAGGGCAUAAAAAUUUGACACUGGUAAAUUAAGUGUGCUAUUAUUAUCACUUUGGAGGCUUCAGGAUAUGCUGUAUUUACUCUGAUCCUUUUACUUGCAAGUAUGUCUCCUUAAUGCUUUAUGGUAAAUUCACCUAUGGGCUUGUUUUUUCUCUCUUCAAAAAUUAGGCCAGGUUUAGAUUUGCAAAGCUAUCAGAGAGACUGGGAUGAGGAUGAGAUCCCUGAGUGGUGGAAUGUGAAGUUAAAACAACAGGAAAAGUGAUUAGCAUGAGGGGAAGCAGAGAUGUAGAAAAGACUGAGAUGCAGAAAGGUCCAUUACAGGGGAACGCCCAUCAAGAUGUGCAAUACCUCCCAUAAGUGCAUGGAAAAACUUUCAGACUGCUGAGCCUCCUGAUAGUGCUGUCAAUAUAUAGCAGUGAAGCUGUGAUGGCAGGAGAGCUGCUCUCCCCCACAGACUACAUGGCAUUGUAGUACCAUCAGAAGAUACUCCAGUAGGUCAAGCGAUAGAAGUCUGUGGAGUAGAUCUUAAGAGUCUCCUUCUGAGUAUAAGAAUGUGAAUGAUUCCAAAUGAUACAUUGAAAAAAAAAAAAAAAAGUCAUAUUUCUCCUUUCCCUCACCCAAACUAGAAACCUACAUGUACAAGUAACAAUGAGGUUGAAGUUCAGGUGAUUCAGAAAUUCAGAUGACUCAGAAAAAUGUCAGAAUAAAAACUACAUUAUGAUACAGUUCUUAAUGGGAUGCUAUUCUUUCCAAAGGACUUGAAUUUAUUUGGAACACAAGGCCGACAGAGGAUUCCUUAGUCAUUUUGUUUUAUCUGUGGUAUUUAAUAUGUGGUCCCUUACUUAUUUUACUGUGUGUUAUUCAGGCUUGUUUUAAAAGCCAUCUGUUUCCUCCGAAGUAAGGAUGCCAUAUAUUUGUUUUUCUCUGGUAUGUCCUUCAUUUCUGCCCUCUGAAUCUCAUCUGGAUGAUCCUUUAAGGCAGUAAACAGGAUUUUAAACGAGAGUUUGAAAUGGAAAAGCAAGAGGACACAUAUACAACAGCAAAAAGAGUGGCAAAGAAGGAAAUUGCAGGUUUGUCUCUGCUAGAAACUUAUUUGCUGCCAUGCUGAUGGAGAGAUCCAGGCUUGGUGCACAGUCCUAUCAGCCGGUCCAGAGCUAAGCAAUCUCGCACAAGUGAUGGGAACGUUUGAGACAUCGGUCUUAGAUUGUCUUUCUGAUAGCAGGUUCACAGCAUCAUUUCAAAAAGCGCAGCUGUCUUGACAGCUGAGCCAGCCUUUUACUGGGGACAGCAGCAAAAGGCAGGAGAGGGUGGGGGGAGAGAGAAAGCGGGAAGGUGGAAAGAGGAAAAAGCCAGCACACGAGCAGGGAAUUAGCAGUGCGGGCCAGGCUUCACGUUUCGGGGCCCGGUGAGGACACAGCCAGAGCUGGAGGUGUUUGGUCGUGCAGGGCAGGUUGUAGUGGGCGGUACAGAGAUCCGGGGGAUGAAGACCGAAGAGGGUCAGGAUGGAUGUCGGGAUGCGGGGAGAUGCUGUAAGCGGCAACUAUGACGCAAAGCUUGUCCGUUCAGGAUCACGCAUCCAACUGUUCCUCCCUAGUGAUCCCUCAAUAAACAACGUCCAAAAAGGA